CGCCUCCUGAGUAUUAAUAGGAGGUCCAGCCUGCCCAGUGACUGUGUUCAACGGCCUCGGUAUCCUGACCGCGCGAAGGUAGCAUAAUAACUUGUUCUUUAAAUAAGGACUUGUAUCAACGGCAUCACGAGGGUUAUCCUGUCUCCUUUUUCUAAUCAGUGAACCUGACCUCUUCGUGAAGAGGCGAAGAUACAGCUAUAAGACGAGAAGACCCCAUGGAGCUUAAAACAUAGAAACAUUUUCUUCACCACAAACCCUUAAAAACAAGAAAACCUGUCCGCUAGUUUUCGGCUGGGGUGCCCGAGGAGAAUAACCCAACCUCCCUGACGACCACUAUCUAAGAGCAACAACUCGAAGAAACAAUAAAUUGACGUAAAAUGACCCGAUUUUAAUAAUCGAUCAACGAACCAAGUUACCCUGGGGAUAACAGCGCAAUCCAUUUCAAGAGCCCCUAUCGACAAAUGGGUUUACGACCUCGAUGUUGGAUCAGGGUAUCCUAGUGGUGCAGCAGCUACUAAAGGUUUGUUUGUUCAACAAUUAAAACCCU
rnacentral:rRNA from 1 species